rnacentral:lncRNA from 1 species
GAACUUUCUGCUGUUCAUAAGGCACCGGCUCUCUGUCGCGCUGUUAUCGCAGCCCAGGCAGGCUAAGGUAGGGAAGCGCACGGCCGUGCUGGCACAGCGCGCAGACCAGUAAUUCCAGUAUCUGAGAUCUCAGCGGACCAACUGUGGGGUGACAUGGCCCAGGGGAAUAAUUACACGCAGACCAGCAACGGGGUCGCAGACGAAUCACCCAACAUGCUGGUGUACAGAAAGCACUCUGCGUUUACAUGUGGGCACGUGGCCACUGCAGUGAUGGCCCCAUUUCCUAGGCUCCCGAGACCUGCGAGGCAUGGCCGUGGGAUGCCUUCUGGCCGAUGAGAUGUAAGCAGAAGAGAUGUGGAUAGCAUCUGAGACAUGCCCUUUAAAAAGAAGGAUCUACCUUUCUCUUUCCCCUUUCUCCUUCUUGCCGGCUGGCAUCCAGUUGUCUUGGCCAUGAAAUGGAAGGUGACGCGUGUGGAUGGCAGAACAACAAACGGGAGUGGACCUGGGUCCCUGAUCACUGUAGCGUCAGCACGCUGACUGGACUUGCCUGCGUAAACUUUCAUGUGAGAGGAAAUCAACGUAUGUCUUCUUCUUCUACUGUUUGCAAGAUUUUAUUUUUUUUAAAGCAGUCUUAGAGAUUUCCCAAUUAGCCCCUGCCCCUACAUAGAGUCCCCUAUUACCAACGGGAUUCCCCAGAGCAGUACAUUUGUUACCAAGGACGGGCCUGCACUGACACGUCGUGAUCUCCCAGAGUCCACAGUGUGCUGUAGGGUUCAGUCCUGGGGCGACACCUUCUGUGGGUCUGGACAAACACGUCAUGAUGUGCAUCUAUCGUUAUUAUUUGUACAGAGUUUUUUCGUUGCCUUUCUUCUCUUCAAGAUAUUGUGAUUUUCUGUCAGUUGCAAUAAACCCAAAUUCUAACCAAUUCA